CCUACGGGUGGCAGCAGUGGGGAAUAUUGCACAAUGGGGGAAACCCUGAUGCAGCGACGCCGCGUGAGUGAAGAAGUAUUUCGGUAUGUAAAGCUCUAUCAGCAGGGAAGAAAAUGACGGUACCUGAGUAAGAAGCCACGGCGAACGACGGGCCAGCAGCGGCGGGAAGACGUAGGGGGCAAGAGUGAUCCGGAUUUACUGGGUGUAAAGGGAGCGUAGACGGCUGCACAAGUCUGGAGUGAAAUGCCGGGGCUUAACCCCGGAACUGCUUUGGAAACUGUGCAGCUAGAGUGCAGGAGUGGUACGUGGAAUUCCUAGUGUAGCGGUGACAUGCGUAGAUAUUAGGAGGCACACCAGUGGCGAAGGCGGCUUCCUGGACUGUAACUGCCGUUGCGGCUCGACAGCGUGGGGAGCAAACAGGAUUAGCUACCCGUGUAGUC
rnacentral:rRNA from 1 species